rnacentral:rRNA from 1 species
AGUUAAACACUGUUUAAUUGUUUCAAUUAAAAUCUGUUUAUUUGUUUGAGUCAAGCUCUUAUUAGUCUAGAUUAUUUUAUUAUUAUUUGACCUAGAAAUUUAGCCUAUAAAUAGGCUCUUUUACAACUUUAGAAAAAACACUCAUUAGAUAUACCCAUUAUAAUUUAGAACUCCUAACACUUUUGGAAAAUUUAGUGUUUACGUUUUGAGAGUUCUUUAUUUUUUGAGUUUUUGGGGUUUAGUUUUUAUCUCCAUCUUUUGUACUCUUCAUUCUUUUGUUAUUUUAGUAAAAUUAUUUUUGCCCGUGGUUUUUUAUCCUUUUCGGAGAGAUUUUUCCACGUUAAAUUUGUGUGUUCAAUUUCUCAAUUUAUUUCGCUAUUUUUACUUGUUCGUUACUUAAUCUGGUUGAUCCCCAACAAGUGGUAUCAGAGCUAGUUUGAUUUUCGCAGAUCAACCCGUUCAGAGAUGACAACAACAAGAUUCGACAUUGAGAAAUUCGAUUGUGUCACAAAUUUCAAUCUGUGACAAGUUUGGAUGAUGGCAAUUCUAGUUCAGACCGACUUGAAAAAGGUUGUUAUCGAAAAAAAGUUUGAUAAUCUAGAUCAAUCAGAAUAGGAAGAGCUUGAUAAAAAGGCCCUGUCUGCAAUCCAGUUGUGCCUCGCGAAUAGGUUAUUGCAAAAGGUAUUGAUGGAGAAGACCUCAUCUGCCUUGUGGAAAAGGCUAGAAACUCUUUAUACGACUAAGUCUCUGGGUAACCGUUUAGUGCUGAAACAACAUCUAUUUACUUUUCGCAUGAACGAAGAUGAGCUUUUUAGAGAGCACAUCAGUCAAUUCAUUACUCUUUUGAAUGAUUUAAAUAAUGUUGAGGUUGAGAUUGACGAUGAGGAUCAGGCUAUGCUAUUAUUGUGCUCUUUACCGCUUUUAUACAAGUCUUUUAGGGAUACUUUGAUCUAUGGUAGAGACAAAAUCUUGUUCAAGAAUGUGAAGGGUCAUUUGUUGAGCAAAGACAAACUCGACAAUGAGUUUGGUUCAUAUAGCAAGGAAGAUAAGCAAGCUUAUAUUUUGGUAGCAUCAAAGAAGCGAGACAAAAAGUGUAGUUAUUAUAAGAAAUUAGGUCACGUCAAAGCAGAUUGUUACAAACUGCGAAAUAAAAGGGUUGUUAAAAGUAACAAGGAAGAUUUAGUUGGUGCUAAUUUGGCCGAUGAAAGUGGUGAUGAUUUCUUGUUAGUGUCAACGAGCGAAAGCUUCGAGCUUACGUUUGAGUAGAUCCUAGAUUCAGGAUGUUCUUUCCAUAUGUGUCCCAACAGAGAAUGGUUCUCCACAUACAAUUCGAUUGAAGGUGGAGUUGUACACAUGGGAAACGAUUCAUCCAGUAAAGUAAUCGGUAUUGGUACUGUUAAAAUUAGGAUGCACGAUGAUACGAUUAGGACACUAUCAGAUAUCAGGUAUGUACCUAAUUUACGAAAGAAUCUCAUCUCCUUAAGUAUUUUAGACUCAAAAAGUUACAGAAUCAACAUCGAGUCAAGCGGCAUUAAGGUGUCUCGUGGGGCUCUCGUUUUGUUAAAAGGUAAAAAGAUCGGCAAUCUUUAUAUUUUGAAAGGUUUUACAGUGAUCGGUGAAAUUGGACGUCUCUCGUCCGUUAUGGAGUUGAAGUCAACUCGUUUUGAGCGGAGGCAACUUGGUCAUAGGAGGUAAAAAGGUAUAACUGUUUCGUUGAAGAGAGGUUCUCUUUUGGAUGCAGGUUUUGAAAAGUUAGGGCACUGUAUUCGAGAAAAUCAAACCCGGGUUAGUUUUGAUUUGGCAGUGCACAAGUCGAAGGCUAGAAGACUUCCAGCUUCUAAGCAUAGAUUUGACUCAGUUAAUUCCCUGUAUAGUUCAAGAUAGGCCCGUAACGGGCUUUUGGCAAAGAUGACAUUGUGGAAAUACGAGUUAAGGAGGAGAUUUGUUGAAUUAUGACUCCUAUUUCAAGUCAAAUUUGAGAAAUAAUCUUUCAGUUAAACUCUGUUUAAUUGUUUCAAUUACUGUUUAUUUGUUUCAAUUAAACUAUGUUUAUUUGUUUGAGUGAAAUUUUUAUUAAUCUAGACUAUUUUAUUAUUAUUUAACCUAGAAAUUUAGCUUAUAAAUAGGCUCUUUUACAAUCUUAGAAAAAAACUUAUUAGAUAUACCUAUUAUAAUUUAGAACUCGUAACACUUUUGAAGAAUUUAGUGUUUACGUUUUGAGGGUUCUUUAUUUUUUUGGUUUUCGGGGUUUAGUUUUUACCUCCAUCUUUUGUAAUCUUCAUUCUUUUGCCAAUAUAGUAAAAUUAUCUUUGCUCAUGAUUUUUUAUCCUCUUCGGAGGGAUUUUUCCACAUUAAAUUUGUGUGUUCAAUUUCUCAAAUUUAUUCUGCUAUUUUUAUUUGUUCGUUGCUUAAUCUGGUUGAUCCCUAACACUUUCUAUCAAAGAAAAUGACAGUUUCUAUAGGGCGUAGGCCUCCCAAAAGAUAACGGAGGUGUGUAAAGGUUUCCUCGAGCUGGAUAGAGAUUGGCCUUAAGUGCAAAGGUAAAAGGGAGCUUGAUUGCAAGAUCCACCCAUCAAGCAAGGAUGAAAGUCAACCUUAGUGAUCUAACGAUGCUGAGUGCAAGAACCGUCACUCAACGAAUUAAAGUUACUCUAGUUAUAACAAAUUAAUCUUCUCCAAGAGCUCACAUCGACAAGAAGGUUUGUCACCUCGAUGUCGGCUCUUCGCCACUAGGGUUGGGUUGUUUGCCCGCUAAGGCUGUACAUGAGCUGGGUUUAGAAUGUCGUGAGACAGUUCGGUCCAUAAUUGGUAUAGGUGUUAGAGCAUUGAGAGAACCUUUCCCUAGUACGAGAGGAUCAAGAAGGACGCAUCUCUAGUGUAUGAGUUAUCGAGCCUAUGGUAAACAUUAGGUAACCAAGUGCGGAACAGAUAACUACUAAAAGCAUCUAAAUAGUAAACGCUGUGGAGAGCAACAAAUGUCCACAGACCACCUAAUUGACACCAACGAGUAAAAUCUCUUUGUGCUUCAAGAACCUAUAGUAACAACAAAGAAUGUGCUAAACUAUUAGCAAGGGUAGCAGGGUUAGAAAC